rnacentral:rRNA from 1 species
UACGGAGGGUGCGAGCGUUGUCCGGAAUCACUGGGCGUAAAGGGCGCGUAGGCGGCUCGGUAAGUAGGGGGUGAAAUCCUGCGGCUUAACCGCAGGGCUGCCUUCUAAACUGUCGAGCUCGAGCACGGUAGAGGCAGAUGGAAUUCCCGGUGUAGCGGUGGAAUGCGUAGAGAUCGGGAAGAACACCAGUGGCGAAGGCGCUCUACUAGGCCGUGACUGACACUGAGAGACGAUAGCUAGGGGAGCGAAUAGG